AAUGUAUGUUUGCACUGAUUGCCGAUCACACUUCAACUGAGUCGUCCUCGGUCAGAAGGAAUGGUACUCCACAGUGACGUAGUUCAAAUAACUUUAAUAAGGAGGUGGCAGAUGACAUCAACAGGAUGUACAGCUUUGGUGGGGAAGCGAUUGCAUUACAGCAUUCACAUGCAGGUAAAGGGAGUGUGAGUGUGUAUAUGAGUGUGUGGUCAU